AAGUGAAUCAUGUGGGGAUCUUGGUGAAAUGCAGAUUCUGAUUACCAAGUGUAGGAGCUGGAGAUUCUGCUUUUCUAACAAGCUCCCAGGUGAUAUCUAA
rnacentral:pre_miRNA from 1 species